UACAGAGGGGGCAAGCGUUGUUCGGAAUUACUGGGCGUAAAGGGCGCGUAGGCGGCCUGCUAAGUCGAACGUGAAAUCCCUGGGCUCAACCCAGGAACUGCGUCCGAUACUGGUUGGCUUGAAUCCGGGAGAGGGAUGCGAAAUUCCAGGUGUAGCGGUGAAAUGCGUAGAUAUCUGGAGGAACACCGGUGGCGAAGGCGGCAUCCUGGACCGGCAUUGACGCUGAGGCGCGAAAGCCAGGGGAGCAAACGGG
rnacentral:rRNA from 1 species